AUUUAUGGAGAGUUUGAUCCUGGCUCAGGACGAACGCUGGCGGCGUGCUUAACACAUGCAAGUUGAACGGGACGGAUAUUGAAGCGACUUUUCGGAGUGGUGGAUAUAUUUGUUUAG
rnacentral:rRNA from 1 species